rfam:Folsomia candida strain VT population Fcan01_Sc034, whole genome shotgun sequence.
GCCUGGUUAGCUCAGUCGGUAGAGCGUGUGGCUUUUAACCACAAGGUCCUGGGUUCGAGCCCCAUACCAGGCG